rnacentral:rRNA from 1 species
UACGUAGGUGGCAAGCGUUGUCCGGAAUUACUGGGUGUAAAGCGCGUGUUAGGCGGCAGACCAAGUCGGCGGUGAAAGCGCCCGGCUCAACUGGGCGAGGUCCGUGGAAACUGGUCAGCUGGAGGACGGUAGAGGCGAGUGGAAUUCCCGGUGUAGUGGUGAAAUGCGUAGAGAUCGGGAGGAACACCUGUGGCGAAGGCGGCUCGCUGGGCCGGUCCUGACGCUGAGACGCGAAGGCGUGGGGAGCGAACGGG